rnacentral:misc_RNA from 1 species
CUUGGUCAUUUAGAGGAAGUAAAAGUCGUAACAAGGUUUCCGUAGUGAACCUGCGGAAGGAUCAUUACAAGUGAGGCUACCGAACGUUGGAAACAGCGGUUAGGAGCUUACACCCACCCGUGUUUACAUACUAUUGUUGCUUUGGCGGGUCGUGGCCUCCACUGCGGGCUCUGCUCGUGUGUGCCCGCCAGAGAACCAAACUCUGAAUGUUAGUGAUGUCUGAGUACUAUCUAAUAGUUAAAACUUUCAACAACGGAUCUCUUGGUUCUGGCAUCGAUGAAGAACGCAGCGAAAUGCGAUAAGUAAUGUGAAUUGCAGAAUUCAGUGAAUCAUCGAAUCUUUGAACGCACAUUGCGCCCUGUGGUAUUCCGCAGGCAUGCCUGUUCGAGCGUCAUUUAACCACUCACGCCUGGCGUGGUAUUGGGGCACGCGGUCUCCGCGGCCCUCAAAAUUAGUGGCGGUGCCGGUGGGCUCUAAGCGUAGUACAUACUCCCGCUAUAGAGUUCCCCCGGUGGCUCGCCAGAACCCCCAAUUUUUUACAGGUUGACCUCGGAUCAGGUAGGGAUACCCGCUGAACUUAAGCAUAUCAAUAAGCGGAGGA